UACGAAGGGGGCUAGCGUUGCUCGGAAUUACUGGGCGUAAAGGGCGCGUAGGCGGACAGUUUAGUCAGGGGUGAAAGCCCAGGGCUCAACCCUGGAAUUGCCUUUGAUACUGGCUGUCUUGAGUACGGGAGAGGUGUGUGGAACUCCGAGUGUAGAGGUGAAAUUCGUAGAUAUUCGGAAGAACACCAGUGGCGAAGGCGACACACUGGCCCGUUACUGACGCUGAGGCGCGAAAGCGUGGGGAGCGAACAGG
rnacentral:rRNA from 1 species